rnacentral:tRNA from 2 species
GGGCGGUUAGCUCAGCGGUAGAGCACUACCUUGACAUGGUAGGGGUCACUGGUUCGAUCCCAGUACCGCCCACCA